rnacentral:lncRNA from 1 species
AAAUGUCAUGUUAUAGCUAGUAUUCGUAAAUACAUAAUACUCCUCGAAAAUAAAUAGUAGUAUUACCAAAAUAUUAACUGUUCUGGAAUCUUGAAAACAUCAAUUUCAUUGCGUAGCUAGGUAGAUCCAAUAUAUAUUCCAUCUUUUUUUCUUUCUGUUUGUGCAUAACAUACUCCCAAAUAGUACAAUAUGAUAAAAAAUGACCAGACAGAGAGAGGGGGAGGGGGGGUGGUGACAGAGAUAGUUAAUGCCUAACUUGGUAAAAUAUCUAAUUAGCAUAAGCUAAUAAUAUUCUUGUAAAUAUUGAUCUCUUCAUUAUCUAAUUCUUACCCAAAAUGCAGCAAUAAACGGACCUGCUUAAUUUCUAUCUACUUUUCUUUUACUUCCAUCGCUUUCCCUACCCGGACUCCAGAUUUCUAGCUAAUUUGGAUUUUUUUUUUAAAGAGAAUUUGGAUAUUAUUUCGAAACAGAAAAACUAGAGUAAAUAAAAAAUCCGAAAUAAUCUGGAACCAUUAGAGCUAGUGCAGAUAUUUCUACUCGUAAAACAAAUUAGAUACUCGUGAAUGAGAAGAAUUGUGAAAUAAUACUAGCAACAAAACUAAACGGACAUACGCUACGCUUUACUUCUCCGGCGGCUUGCGCGAGCAGAAACGACGCCGUAUGCACUGAAAGAAGAGGGCGACGACGAGAAAGGCACCCAAAAGCGUGAUUAGCACAAGCAUGGUAACUUUUCCACCCACAGCAAAGUCGCUGCUUUCCUUUGCCGAUAACAAUGAUAUUUCCGGCGACAGCGACGGUGACGAAGACAAACUCAUGCUAGAAUGGCGCUUUCAGCACUUUAAUGACACAGAAUUUUCCGAGGAGAGGUAUGCGCCUCCUCACUCUCUCUCUCUCUCUCUUUCUCUCUGUCUCUCACACAUAGGUUAUGGGACAUUUUAGUGAUAUACAACAAGUUGCAGCGCAUACGUACAAUACUGUUUGUCUAUAUAUGAUUUUAUAUUAGAUAGUAAAUUUUACUUUUAUGUCCUAUCGUCUCAAUGAAUUUUCAAAAACAUCUCAACUUAAACGUAUUCCAAUAAAAGGUGGUCUCAUGUACACCCGAGUGUACCGUACACCCAGGGCCGGCCCUGAUAUUCCGGGGGCUCUAGGCAAAAAGGAAAAAAGGGGCCCCUAUUAGGGGUGAGCAGAAACCGAACCAACACUGAAAAUCGAACCGAACUAAACCAGAUUGGUGCGGUUCGGUCCCAAUUCUAUUGGUUCGGUUUUAAACCGAACCGAACCGAUACAUAUUAAUAUUUUAUUAUAUAUAAUUAUUUUAUAAUAUAUAAUUAAUUUUCUAAUUUUUUAACUUAAAACUAAAACCCUAAUUCACAAUUAUAAUAUAUAAUUAUUUAUCAUGUUCAUGUUGUGGGGAUUUGACAUUUGAAAUUUGUGUAUUUUACAUUAUUUUACAAUUUUUAAUUGGUAUUUUCGAAAAAAAUUGCAUCGUUCGGUUCGGUGAACCGAACCAAAACCGAUUGUUUUAUCGGUUCGGUUCCGGACCCCCAAUUGGUGAAGUUCGGUUCCAAUUUUAACCAUCGGUUCGAUUUUCGGUUUUGAGUUUUUGGUUCGGUUUUGCACCAAACCAAACCAAUGCUCACCCCUAGCCCCUAUAAUAUUAACUAUAAAGUGCAAUAAACUAGAAAACAAUGAUGAAAUAAUUACAAAAAUAACUUAGAUCUUCUAGCAUUUUGAGAAGUAAAAUCAUCAAUAAUUUCUUCAAGAUCAAGCUUUUCUAAUACCUCAUGUUCAAUGCACAAAAUCGCUAAUCCAUUCAACCUUUCUUGAGACAUAUUAGAACGUAAAUAUGAUUUUAUCAAUUUUAAUUUUGAAAAGCUUCUUUCAGCUGAAGCUACAGUAACUGGUAUAGUCAACAAUAUUCUAUAUGCAAUAGAAACAUUAGGAAAGCAAUCUGAAACUUUAAUAAAUUCAAGAAGCUCACCAAACGACUUUGUUUCAGAUGGUAAACACAUUUGUAGCACUUGCAAUUCAGAAUAUAAAUCUUCAGAGCAUCUUGAAGCUCAACACAACACUUAUGCAAUUUAUCACUAUCCCAUAAAGAUAACAUCUUAUGAGGAAACAAAAAGCCAAAAAUAUCUUCAAAAAUUAUCAAUUGUUCAAAUCUAGUCUUUAAAGAUAAAAUAGCAAUAUCCACUAUAACAAAAAAAUAAUUGAUCCUAAAAGACUCCUCGUUAGAUAAUGGAAUCUCUUCUUGACAACUUUCAUCAAAUUGUUUCUUCUUACGAAUCAUACGUUUUGGUGGAAAAAUAGGAUCAAUUUCCAUCUUAGAUGCAAGCUCCUUAGCUAAUGUCAAGGCCGAUUGAAAACCUUCCUCUCUAUAUUUUUCAAAAUAAGAAGUCAAACAUUUCAAGAUAACUAUUGCAACAUCAAUUUGCAUAUCUUUAGAUUGUAGUUUUUUGCUAAUCAAAUUUGUUUUGUUCAAUAUAUUAUGUCAUAUAGUCAUACCCAACAAAAACUCAAAAUUCUCAAGUUCAUUAGUCGCCAAAGACUCGGCUUCACUCCUAGUUUUAGCAUCACCACUAACUCUUGCUAGUUCAAAUAGAACAUCUUUUAUCUCAUUAGGUUGAGUCAUUAUAGCAGUAACACUGAUGAGGACUGGAAUACUCAUCAGCGCUGUGCUUAGUAGUUUAAAUCUACUUUACCUGAUUAUUGUUAUUAUUAUCAAAGGAACUAACGAGCGCAGGUCUAAUUAAAAAGACUUACUAACAAAUGAAUACGAAGAGUCAAUCAGUCUUGGCCAAAGUGCAGAGCUGCGCAGCUAGAGCGGCGCAGACCAGAACAGGGCAGCAAAGCUGCGCAGCCAGGACUUGGCAGCAUAGACAAAGAGCUGCGCAGCCAGAACUUGGCAGCGUAGACAAAGACACCAGACUUGGCAGCGUAGACAAAGAGCUACACAGCCAGAACUUGGCAGCGUAGACAAAGAACCAGACUUGGCGGCGUAGACGAAGAGCCGGACUUGGCGGCGUAGACGAAGAGCCAGACUUGACAGCGUAGACGAAGAGCCGGACUUGGCGGCGUAGACGAAGAGCCGGACUUGGCAGCGUAGACAAAGAAACAGACUUGGCAGCGUAGACGAAGAAACGAACUUGGCAGCGUAGACGAAGGGACCUAGCGGUGCAGACUCGCCUGCGCAGCUCAAGGAACUACUCAACACGGGCAACGAAGGACAGCGCAGAUGGGUCAAAUCAGGACUAAAGUGUAUUAAGGCCUUAAAGGGCCUAAACCCAAUUAUCAAAGCUCAUGGGCCUAAGGCCUUUAGGGUUUACUAUCACAUCUAUAAAUAGAAGGUUAGCAUUAGCAUUAAGGAGGAUGAUUUAUUUCUGAGCAACACUUGUAAUAUGUAAAUACUAUCUCAAAGUAUAGUGAAACCAACGAAGAACUCCCGUGGACGUAGAUCAUUUAUGAUCGAACCACGUACAUCUUGUCUCGUUUAUCAUUUCUUAAUUAGGGUAAGAUUUCAUGCUUCACCAAACACUAUUAAUAAGACUUUCCCAUCUUGUUGUUGAUGAGGACUAAAAAGUAAAUUGAUGAAGGGCAUCCUGUAAAAAUGUACAGCUUAUUGUAGAACUUGCAAAUAAAGUAUACAAACGUUGCACAACUCCAAAAAAAGAAACCGCUUUAACACAAGAACUAGCUAUAUCACAUAUUGCUAAAUUAAGAGAAUGACAAGCACAUGACAUAUAAAAUGCUCUAGGAUUAAUUUCAAGCAAUCUCUUUUGCACACUUUGAUGUUUCUCUUUCAUAUUUGAACCAUUGUCAUAACCUUGUCCCCUCACAUUAUCAAUAUCAAGCCCAAGUGAUUCUAAAGCAGCUUGUAUUUCAUUGAAAAGAGCUAAUCCCGAUGUAUCAUCCACACUUAUAAAUUCUAUGAAAUAUUCCUUUAUCAUUAUGCUAGAACUAGUCAUAUCAACACAUCGAAUUACUAAAGUCAUUUGCUCAUUAUGACUUAUAUCUGAAGUGCAAUCAAGUAUCACUGAAUAAUACUUAGCCUCUUUGAUUUUUUUGACUAUAUCAUUCUUAACUUUAGAGGCUAAUGUUGAAAUCAACUCAUUUUGAAUCUUAUGACUAAGGUAACGAUAGUGAAUUUCCUUAUUUUGGACACGUCUUAAUGCUCUUGCAUUACCAAAUCAAAUUCUGCAAUUAAUUCAACUAAACCCAAAAAAUUACCAUUAUUAUUUUGGUAAAUUUUCUCAUUAUCCCCACGAAAAGCCAAAUUACGUGUAGCAAGACAUUUCACAACAGCAAUAAUUCUAACUAAAACUUGUUUCCAAUGUUCUUUCUCUUUCUUAAUGUGUACUUGUAAAUCUUUAUCAAUUGUUUGAUUGCGUUUCAAUCUAAUAUGCAAAUCAAUCCAAGUUCUCAUAUUAUUAAGGGUUAAUUGCCCAUAAAAUACCAAACUUUCAUCCAAUUCUGAUUUUGUCAUACAAACUUUAAAAAUGUGGCGUGAUAAUUACUAAACUUUUGAUUUUAUCUGAUUUUGCUACUAAUAUAAAUUCCGGCCAAAUUUCGUUCCAAAUUCCAUGCCAAUNAAAUAGAUAGAGUAAUUUCGUUUUACAGUCUCUGUGGAUACGAUACUCGAUUGCUACAUUUGUGCUACAAUUACACCAUUUUAGUUGCGGUUUAGUUGCUAAGUAAAUUAGUGAUCAACGCCCGAUAUAGUAAUUGUGACAUAAUCUUGGCGGACAGAGGGAGUAUAAGAAACUUAUGAAUGGCUCAUUUUUUUAGUUUUAAUCACCUCAUCAAUUCAUUUUCUUUUUUUCUUUUUUGACUACGCGAUGCAUAUUUUCUAGGCAACAUUAUAACCACAAAAAAUUUCAACCUCAAUAAGACAAUAACAAUUAGCAAUAUCCACUAUAACAAAUAAAUUCUAAUCACAAUUUCACAAUCAAACACAAAUCCACCAAAAAUACCAUAAACCUCAAAGAAAUUAAAUUUAAAAUUGGAACAACACACCGGGUUAUUGACUUAUUUCUGCUGCAGAACCGGUGACGCAGCAGCAGGCCG